UACGGGGGGGGCAAGCGUUGUUCGGAAUUACUGGGCGUAAAGGGCUCGUAGGUGGCCAACUAAGUCAGACGUGAAAUCCCUCGGCUUAACCGGGGAACUGCGUCUGAUACUGGAUGGCUUGAGUUUGGGAGAGGGACGCGGAAUUCCAGGUGUAGCGGUGAAAUGCGCAGAUAUCAGGAGGAACACCGGUGGCGAAGGCGGUGGGCUGGGCCGGAACUGACGCUGAGGAGCGAAAGCGUGGGGAGCGAACAGG
rnacentral:rRNA from 1 species